UUUUGUUGGAAUGCUGCACAUUAGUUGAUGAACAGCAAAGUUCUGUGAAAACAGCAUCUUUGUCCAAGCUGUAGGUUGUCUCCUUUUUUCUUUCUUUGAAAAUGUUCAGGAUCUUGUAAAAUGAGCCACAAUUGACUGUUAUGAGCAAGUGAAAUUGACAGACAUCUGGAUCUGACACAAGAAGGAAUCCAGGCCUGCAUUCUCAAGGUUAUCCUAUGUGAAGCUUCCAUAUUUCCGUGUAGAGAAUGUUAAUGUAAAUCCAUAGGACUGAAUCCAAAGCAAUGUUUUUAUACUUGGCAAUUUUAAGAUGAGUGGACUUCAAUUCUGAAAAGGUUAAGAAACACUGGUCUACAGGAUCUCUUUGAUACAAGGUAAUGAUCCAAUCACAGAAAUCUUCCAGCUUUUUAAUCCAUCCCCUUCCUGUCAUUCCAGUUGCUAAAUUCUAAUCAGUAUCGUGGGAAAAGUAAAAAUACAUUCCCAGGACAAUAAAUGGAAGGACCUCUAGAUUCAGUAUAUGAUGGUGUUAGAAAAGGGGUGUCAAACUCGCUAUGUCAUGUGACAUGUCGUGAUGUAUCGUGACUUUUUUCCCAUUGCCAGCAAUGGGGUGGGCGCAGUUUCGCUCUGACGCAUGGGCCGGCAGUUUGACACCCCUGUGUUAGAAUGAUGUAUAUGCUACCUUGAUGGACAGGUGAUUUCUCUUUAUUCUUUUUUACACCAAGAUCUCCAAGUAAAUUAUAAAAGUUUCAGAGGUUAAGAAUUAGAGGAACUAAAAAAGUAAUUUCCUUCAUUUCCUUAUGCUUGAGUUUAUUUACUUUAAUUAUUUUUACAAUUGCUCUUUUUGAAAGUUUGAGCCUUUAAAACCUCAUCAGAUACAAUUAUUUUAUAAAUUCACAAAUUAUAGCAAUGACAUUAGAAGUCAUUUCCCUGAAGCUAACAAUAGUCAUGGUAAGAAAAAUCUAUUGGGAAUUUUAUUUUUCCUAUGUCUGAUGAACAAAAGUGUCAUUUCUUUAAGUAUUAAUCAAGAGAUGCAAAGUUCUUAUAAUUGAGCUUCUAACAAUCACCCUUCAAUGUCUAUUAAUCAUAUAUGGCCAACAUCCUGAACACUCAGUAAACCAAACAAAUUUCUCUUGAUGAAGCAUGCAGGCUACAAAUCUAGCUGAACUACAAUCAGAUUAUUUUCAUGAGUCAGUCGCAGAUCAUUCAGCUAUUGAACUCAGUCAUGGAACUCUGAACCAACAACCAUUAGACUUUCUAGUUUACAUCCUUUGGAAGCAGUGUGUGGUUGUUUACUAUUAAUUUAUCUCCUCCAGAAUCUAGAUUAUAUGUUUCAAUAUGUUGAACUCAGAUUGUAUUAUGUUAAACCUACUAUAGUGUUGGUCUAGUUCAGGGAUAGGCAACCUUGGCUCUUUUAUGACUUG